rnacentral:lncRNA from 1 species
CCUCCUGGAACUCUACUUGCCUUCUGCGGAUGUCUGCAUAACUCUUCUGUCUGCUUGCAGCAGUCUUGAUUCUUUCUCUGAUUAAGGGUACCACCCUGCUGGUGAUCUCUACUAGCUCAGGCCCUGCCAAGGCCUUUUCUCCAACUUCCUCCCAGCAAACAGGCGACCUGCACUUCCUCCCAUAUAAAGCUUCAUAUGGAGCCAUCCCGAUGCUAGCAUGAUGGCUGUUAUUGUAGGCAAACUCCACCAAAGGUAGAUGCUACCUCCAAGAACCGCCAAA